rnacentral:rRNA from 1 species
AGGAUGAACGCUGGCGGCGUGCCUAACACAUGCAAGUCGAACGUCCUGUCUCGCAAGAGGCAGGGAGUGGCGGACGGGUGAGUACCACGUGGGUCAUCUACCGUGAGGUGAGGAAUACCGGCGAGAAAUCGCCGACAAGACCGCAUAGGCUCGAUGCAAGUCGAGCAAAGCUCUUUCGAGAGAGGGAGCGCCACACGAGGAGCCUGCGCCCGAUUAGCUAGCUGGUGGAGUAACGGUUCACCAGGGCGACGAUCGGUAGCUGGUCUGAGAGGACGAUCAGCCACACUGGGAUUGAGAACGGCCCAGACUCCUACGGGGGGCAGCAGUGAGGAAUUUUCGUCAAUGGGGGCAACCCUGAACGAGCAACGCCGCGUGCAGGAAGAAGGUUUUCGGAUCGUAAACUGCUUUUCUCGGGGAAGAGAAUGGACGGUACCCGAGGAAUCAGCCCCGGCUAACUACGUGCCAGCAGCCGCGGU